rnacentral:lncRNA from 1 species
AAUUUACCUGUAUUUGAGUACCUGCUAUGUGAGAGGCACAUUGCUGAGUGCUAUUUUCUGCUUCGCAAUGUUAUAAAGCACAUUUUGACCUCUGGGAACACACAGGGUAUCUCAG